UAUAUACAGUAAUAAAUUAGUGACUUACCAAAGGUGUGUGGUAGUGCCCAUCCGUGUUGGGCACUACCGGAUGGGCACUACCACACACCUUUGGUAAGUUACUCAUUUAUUACUGUAUAU